rnacentral:rRNA from 1 species
UACGUAGGGCGCAAGCGUUAUCCGGAAUUAUUGGGCGUAAAGAGCUCGUAGGCGGUUUGUCGCGUCUGCUGUGAAAACCUAAGGCUCAACCUUGGGCUUGCAGUGGGUACGGGCAGACUAGAGUGCGGUAGGGGUGACUGGAAUUCCUGGUGUAGCGGUGAAAUGCGCAGAUAUCAGGAGGAACACCGGUGGCGAAGGCGGAUCUCUGGGCCGUAACUGACGCUGAGGAGCGAAAGCAUGGGGGAGCGAGCAGG